rnacentral:rRNA from 1 species
GAUGUAGGUGGCUUUGUAAGUCAGAUGUGAAAGCCCCGGGCUCAACCCGGGAAGUGCAUUUGAUACUGCGAAGCUUGAGUGCUAGAGAGGUUACUAGAAUACCUGGUGUAGUGGUGAAAUACGUAGAUAUCAGGUGGAAUACCGGAGGCGAAGGCGGGUAACCAGCUAGACACUGACACUCAGAUCCGAAAGUGUGGGGAUCAAACA